rnacentral:rRNA from 1 species
UACGGGGGGGGCAAGCGUUGUUCGGAAUUACUGGGCGUAAAGGGCUUGUAGGUGGCCAACUAAGUCAGACGUGAAAUCCCACGGCUUAACCGAGGAACUGCGUCUGAUACUGGAUGGCUUGAGUGUGGGAGAGGGAUGCGGAAUUCCAGGUGUAGCGGUGAAAUGCGCAGAUAUCGGGAGGAACACCCGUAGCGAAGGCGGCACUCUGGGCCGGAACUGACGCUGAGGAGCGAAAGCGUGGGGAGCAAACAGG